rnacentral:lncRNA from 1 species
CCGUACGGCACCGGCCUGCGGCGAGGCGUGGAGCUCUUUGCGCCAGGAGCUUGCUGAAGCCGCUCGGCCAAUCAGAAACUUCCAGCCUCAGACCUGCCCCACAACCCCAAGCCCUCGCAUGGAGUCGCAUCGGAGGUGCGGAGAAAAGGAAGAGGGGGAAGCCACUGUGAUGCCCGCCCCAGGGUGGGGAGGCAAGGUCCGCAGGUGUUGAUGAGGAAGCCUGAACGUCAACAUUCUUUACGCGGAGACCUCGGCUCUGCAGCCUUCCUUCCACGGUGGUGGGCAUCUUGCCAAUUUGCAGGACCAAGAAAGAAGCCCAGCUGCUCUCAAGAGGACCCGAACUUCAAAUUUAAACCCACCUCCUCUCAUUGCGUCCGGCCUUUUGGGCUUACAGCAUUUCAAUAGGAGCGGGGUGGGGUGGGGUG